rnacentral:lncRNA from 13 species
GCAAAGGGUCUGAAUAUCUAUGAAAUAUUGUAUUUCUGUUUUUUUUAUUUUAUACAUUUGCGAAAUAUCUAAAAACCUGUUUUCACUUUGUCAUUAUGGGGUAUUGUGUGUAGAUUGCUGAGAAUAUUUUUUUUUUGUAAUCCAUUUUAGAAUAAGGCUGUAAAGUAACAAAAUGUGUAAAAAGUCAAAGGUCUGAAUCCUUUCCGAAUGCACUGUAUAUUGAUCUGUGGAAUGUAUUGUAUCUAUUUGAUGAUGUUAAUAUUGUUAAUGUAUGUAAUAUUCAUAUGUUCUAGAAACUUUAAGGGUUCUUUGGCUGUCCCCAAAGGAGAACCCUUUGAAGAACCCUUUUGAGUUCCUAUGGGGAACCUAAUAACCCUUUUGGAACCAUUUUUUCUAAGAGUGUAGGGUCAAAAAUGUAUAAGGUUAAAGGGUUAAGGUUAGGUUGAGGGAUGAGGGUUAGGCUAAGGUUAAGCAGUUUCAGUGAAUUUAGGGUAAUGUUUAAAAGGUUAGGAAAAGGCAUAAUUGUAAUGUACAUCAUUUUUUGACAGAAACAAGAACAAUUACAGUUAUACUAUUCUUCUAUUAUUAUUAUUAUUAUUAUUAUUAUUAUUAUAAAUGUGAGUAGGAUCAUAGCAAGUGUAUUAUUCAUUAUAUUAUGAAGUAGGUAUUUUACCAUAGUUUCAUUAUUAGGUAUUCUACACCACAUACAAUAAAAUGUGUUAACACCAUCAUCACAACGACGUGCAGAGCACAUCAUCAUCAAUAACCGCUUAAUUAUUAUAAAGACCUAAUUACAUGACUUCAUUUAAUAUAUAGCACUGCCUGUAUCAUCAUCACUGUGGCUGUCUGUCCUUCUCUGUAUGCUCCUGGGUAAAGGCCUACAGUAGCAGGGAUUAAACCGUUUUGCUCUCCUCUGUUCUGCUAUGCAGUUCCGAUGGGCUCCAGCACUACCACUCAUCACAACCCUUCUGAGAUCCACCAAGAUUCACCCCCUCAUGAAUAAUCUCACCCAAAGCAUGAAGGGACCUCCCCCCCAUGAGGAAGUCCUCUGGACCAGCUGCCUUGAGGGAGGGAGGUAGCAGACACAACACAGAGACGGCCCUGGCAGCGGACAAUGAACUAGACAAAUAAAUCACGAGCCAUGUGUGAAGAACAGAAAGAGAGGGAGAGAGAGAAAGAGAGAGAUAGAUAUGAGAGUUCGAGAGAGAGAUUGAGGGAGAGAUAGAUAGAGAGAUAGAGGUCUGGGGUCCGCUCACCAACCAAGACUUCACAAAAUGGG